rnacentral:rRNA from 1 species
GACGAACGCUGGCGGCGUGCUUAACACAUGCAAGUCGAACGGAAAGGCCCUGCUUUUGUGGGGUGCUCGAGUGGCGAACGGGUGAGUAACACGUGAGUAACCUGCCCUUGACUUUGGGAUAACUUCAGGAAACUGGGGCUAAUACCGGAUAGGAGCUCCUGCUGCAUGGUGGGGGUUGGAAAGUUUCGGCGGUUGGGGAUGGACUCGCGGCUUAUCAGCUUGUUGGUGGGGUAGUGGCUUACCAAGGCUUUGACGGGUAGCCGGCCUGAGAGGGUGACCGGCCACAUUGGGACUGAGAUACGACCCAGACUCCUACUGGAGGCAGCAGUGUCGAAUAUUACACAAUGGGCGGAAGCCUGAUGCAGCAACGCCGCGUGCGGGAUGACGGCCUUCGGGUUGUAAACCGCUUUCGCCUGUGACGAAGCGUGAGUGACGGUAAUGGGUAAAGAAGCACCGGCUAACUACGUG